rnacentral:rRNA from 1 species
AUUAGUUUCUUAAUUAGAAGCUGGUAUGAAUGGUUAAAUGAGAAAAUAGCUGUCUUUAGUUAAAUUUUAAAAGAAUUUUAUUUUUAAGUUAAAAAGCUUAAAUAUUUUUAAAAGACGAGAAGACCCUAUAGAGUUUAAUAAUUUAAUUUUUGUUAAUAUUAGGGAUUUAUAUUUAAUAGAAAUAGAAUUAUUUGAUUGGGGUGAUUAGAAAAUUUAGUUAACUUUUGUUUUAUUUAAACAUAAAUUUAUGAUUAUUUGAUCCACUAUUAGUGAUUAUAAGAUUAAAUUACCUUAGGGAUAACAGCGUAAUUUUUUUAGCGAGUUCUUAUCAAUAAAAAAGUUUGCGACCUCGAUGUUGGAUUAAAAUUAACUUUCGGUGCAGUAGUUGAAAAGUUAGGUCUGUUCGACCUUUAAAAUUUUACAUGAUCUGAGUUUAAACCGGUGUGAGCCAGGUUGGAUUCUAUCUUUAAAUUAUUAAAAUGAUUUAGUACGAAAGGGCCCAUCAUUUGUAAUAUUUACUUAAUUAGGAAUAAAA